rnacentral:rRNA from 1 species
CCUACGGGAGGCAGCAGUGGGGAAUUUUGGACAAUGGGCGCAAGCCUGAUCCAGCAAUGCCGCGUGAGUGAAGAAGGCCUUCGGGUUGUAAAGCUCUUUUGUCAGGGAAGAAACGGCUCCAGCUAAUAUCUGGGGCUAAUGACGGUACCUGAAGAAUAAGCACCGGCUAACUACGUGCCAGCAGCCGCGGUAAUACGUAGGGUGCAAGCGUUAAUCGGAAUUACUGGGCGUAAAGCGUGCGCAGGCGGUUUUGUAAGUCUGUCGUGAAAGCCCCGGGCUCAACCUGGGAAUUGCGAUGGAGACUGCAAGGCUUGAAUCUGGCAGAGGGGGGUAGAAUUCCACGUGUAGCAGUGAAAUGCGUAGAGAUGUGGAGGAACACCGAUGGCGAAGGCAGCCCCCUGGGUCAAGAUUGACGCUCAUGCACGAAAGCGUGGGGAGCAAACAGGAUUAGAUACCCUGGUAGUCCACGCCCUAAACGAUGUCUACUAGUUGUCGGGUUUUAAUUAACUUGGUAACGCAGCUAACGCGUGAAGUAGACCGCCUGGGGAUACGGUCGCAAGNUUAAAACUUAAGGAAUUGACGGNGNGAGAGNGCGAGACGACGACGAGGAGAGG